rnacentral:sRNA from 1 species
UAUAGGUGUAGCCUGUUGUUUGGAC